rnacentral:tRNA from 1 species
GGCCCUUUAGUACAAUGGAUAGUAUUCAGGAAUCCGGAUCCUGAGAUAUAGGUUCGAUUCCUAUAGGGGCUACCA